ensembl:lncRNA
AAAACGCUUUCUGUUUGUUUGAGAGUCAAGUUUUCUUUUGCAAAGCAGAUUGUGUUUGUUUGCGAAAUUGUAUAUUUAUUUGUUUAGUUUUGAGGCAAAUUUAACUCCAUAGCAGAUAGACCCUUUUCAAAAUUCCUACACCUCAACUUGGGAUAGUCUUCUCAACUCCGAGUUCUUUCCCUGUUUACGGAGUGACAUCAAAUCAGCAUGGCUGCACACAGCAUCAGAAAUAAACAAAUUGAACAUGCAGAGGUGGAAAAUGAAUCAUUCCAACCUACAAAUUAGCACUUACAAGGCA